AACGUAGGAGACAAACGUUAUCCGGAGUUACUGGGCGUAAAGCGUGCGCAGGCGGUUUCUUAAGUCAGAUGUGAAAGCCCCGGGCUUAACCUGGGAACUGCGUUUGAAACUGGGAGACUUGAGUGUGGCAGAGGGGGGUGGAAUUCCACGUGUAGCAGUGAAAUGCGUAGAUAUGUGGAGGAACACCGAUGGCGAAGGCAGCCCCCUGGGUUAACACUGACGCUCAUGCACGAAAGCGUGGGGAGCAAACAGG
rnacentral:rRNA from 1 species